rnacentral:rRNA from 1 species
UACGGAGGGGGCAAGCGUUAUUCGGAAUUAUUGGGCGUAAAGGGCGCGUAGGCGGCUAGAUGUGUCAAAGGUGAAAUCCCUCGGCUCAACUGAGGAACUGCCUUUGAAACUGUCUGGCUUGAGGCCGGGAGAGGGUAGCGGAAUUCCCAGUGUAGCGGUGAAAUGCGUAGAUAUUGGGAGGAACACCGGUGGCGAAGGCGGCUCACUGGCCUAUUACUGACGCUGAGGCGCGAAAGCGUGGGGAGCAAACAGG